UACAGAGGUCCCGAGCGUUGUUCGGAUUCAUUGGGCGUAAAGGGUGCGUAGGCGGCGGGGUUAGUUUGAUGUGAAAUCCCGGGGCUCAACCCUGGAAUUGCAUUGAAUACUACCUUGCUAGAGUACCGGAGAGGAAACUGGAAUUUAUGGUGUAGCAGUGAAAUGCGUAGAGAUCGUAAGGAAGACCAGUGGCGAAGGCGAGUUUCUGGACGGUAACUGACGCUGAGGCACGAAGGCCAGGGGAGCAAACGGG
rnacentral:rRNA from 1 species